AUGGGCCAUGGUGGACCACCUCCUCCCAUGGAACGUGCUGGUCAUGGUCCACCAUGUCCUCCCAUGGGUCGUCCUGCUCAUGCUCCAGUGCCUCCUCCCAUGGGUCGUGCUGAACAACCUCCUCCGAUGGGUCAUGGUGGGCCACGUGUGAGUAAUGCUUCGGCACCUCUUCCUAUGGGUAACACAACACAAGGCCAUACUAACUGCACUGAGCGGAUGUCGCCUACGAGCAACGACGAUGAGGUUGCAACUCCCAGGGAUCCGCCAAAGUCAACUACAGAAGGGAGGGCAAGGAGUAGACGCUAUCAUUCAGCUCUUGAACUGCACCUGAAAAGGAAAAACAGGUGCAGCAACUGCAACUCAGAUAAGCACAAUGCUGCUAGCUGCCCUACGAAGUUGGCAUGA
rnacentral:rRNA from 1 species